GCUGGGCCAGGAUGUCCUGGUCUCUAAUCAGGUGUCCAGUUUACUCCAGUCCAUCUUACAGCUCCAUAAGCUUCACCUCCCCGCUGAUUUUUGCAUCAUGCAUCUGGAAGACAGACUACAGGAGAUGUACCUCAAAAGUAAAAUGCUUUCAGAGUAUCUCCGGGGACACACACGUGUGCACGUGAAAGAGCUGAGCGUGGUGCUGGGGUGAGUUCUGGGAAAGGCUGGCCUUUCUCCAACGUGUACUGGCUGCAGUCCGAUGCAGCACGCACAUGCACACAUGCACACACACACGACCUAUUGGCCUGUGUCAUUCUCUAUCUACAGGAUCAGUAUUUCUCACUGUGCCCAGGGACAGUCAGAGGUGUGCCCAUUCCCCAGUGAGUUGCAGCUUGUAGGCUGGAGUGACAUUUGAUCUAAUUCUAUCUCUUCAUUCA
rnacentral:lncRNA from 1 species